AUGAUCGACCGCGCGCGCGCCACUGCCAACUUCCGCCUCGUUGUGCUCCGCGGCCGCGCCUACAUCGAGCGCAUCGCGCCGGCCUUCCAGACGCGCGACCUCUUCACCAUCUGGGGCAUCCUCCAGCUACUCCGCCGCUACCCUGGCCGCGUCCCCGACCUCGACCUCAUGUUCGACUGCGUGGACUGGCCGGUUGUCCACGCCGACGAGUACCAGGGGGACAACGCCACCGCCAUGCCGCCGCUUUUCCGCUACUGCGGCGACAACGAGACGCUCGACGUAGUCUUCCCGGACUGGUCCUUCUGGGGCUGGGCCGAGAUAAACAUAAAGCCGUGGGAUGCACUGCAGAAGGAUUUGAAUGAAGGCAAUAAGAAGGUGAGAUGGAUAGAUAGAGAACCUUAUGCUUACUGGAAAGGGAAUCCAGAUGUCGCAGCUAUAAGGCAAGAGCUGGUUAAGUGUAAUGUGUCCAGUGAACAAGAAUGGAAUGCACGGAUUUUCAAACAGGAUUGGAUCAAAGAAAGCAAGGCAGGAUACAAGAAAUCAAAUUUGGCCAGUCAAUGCACUCAUAGGUACAAGAUCUACAUUGAAGGAUCAGCAUGGUCAGUCAGUGAGAAGUAUAUCCUAGCUUGUGAUUCGAUGACGCUGGUGAUUAAACCAAAAUACUACGAUUUCUUCUCAAGGGUGCUGAUGCCCACUCAGCAUUAUUGGCCAGUUCGAGAUGACAAUAAGUGUGGCUCCAUAAAGUAUGCUGUUGACUGGGGAAAUUCUCACAAGAAAAAGGCACAACAAAUAGGAAAGAAGGCAAGCAAGUUCAUUCAACAAGAACUUAGUAUGGACUAUAUAUACGAUUACAUGUUUCACCUCUUAACUGAGUAUGCUAAGCUCCUAAGAUUCAAGCCAACCAAGCCACCUGAAGCUGUUGAGGUCUGUCCCGAAUCUUUGGCCUGCCAAGCCAUAGGUCGGGAGAAGAAGUUUAUGCAAGACUCCAUGGUGAAGUCUGCGAACAUUGCAGGCCCAUGCAAUCUGCCUCCUCCCUUCAGCCCUGAUGAAUACAAAAAACUACAACAGAGGAAAGAAAAGUCAAUUAAACAGGUUGAAACGUUGGAUCAAAAUGCUCCAAAGCUCGAGGAGCGAAAUGCUUCAAAACCUGAGGAUAGCAAUCCCGGGGAGCGAAAUGCUUCAAAACCUGAGGAUAGCAAUCUCGGGGAGCGAAAUGCUUCAAAACCUGAGGAUAGCAAUCUCGGGGAGCGAAAUGCUUCAAAGCCCGAGGAACGAAAUGCUUUAAAACCUGAGGAUAGCAAUCCCGAGGAGCGAAAUGCUUCAAAACCUGAGGAUAGCAAUCCCGAGGAGCGAAAUGCUUCAAAGCCCAAGGAGCGAAAUGCUUCAAAACUUGAGGAUAGCAAUCGUUGA
rnacentral:rRNA from 1 species